rnacentral:tRNA from 1 species
ACCUGGCUGGCUCAGUUGGUAUAGAGCAUCUGACUCCUGAUCUCAGGGUUGUGAGUUCAAGCCCCAUGAGGGGUA